rnacentral:rRNA from 1 species
GCGUGCCUAAUACAUGCAAGUCGAGCCGAGCUUGCCUAGAUGAAUUUGGUGCUUGCACCAGAUGAAACUAGAUACAAGCGAGCGGCGGACGGGUGAGUAACACGUGGGUAACCUGCCCAAGAGACUGGGAUAACACCUGGAAACAGAUGCUAAUACCGGAUAACAACACUAGACGCAUGUCUAGAGUUUAAAAGAUGGUUCUGCUAUCACUCUUGGAUGGACCUGCGGUGCAUUAGCUAGUUGGUAAGGUAACGGCUUACCAAGGCAAUGAUGCAUAGCCGAGUUGAGAGACUGAUCGGCCACAUUGGGACUGAGACACGGCCCAAACUCCUACGGGAGGCAGCAGUAGGGAAUCUUCCACAAUGGACGCAAGUCUGAUGGAGCAACGCCGCGUGAGUGAAGAAGGGUUUCGGCUCGUAAAGCUCUGUUGGUAGUGAAGAAAGAUAGAGGUAGUAACUGGCCUUUAUUUGACGGUAAUUACUUAGAAAGUCACGGCUAACUACGUGCCAGCAGCCGCGGUAAUACGUAGGUGGCAAGCGUUGUCCGGAUUUAUUGGGCGUAAAGCCGAGUGCAGGCGGUUCAAUAAGUCUGAUGUGAAAGCCUUCGGCUCAACCGGAGAAUUGCAUCAGAAACUGUUGAACUUGAGUGCAGAAGAGGAGAGUGGAACUCCAUGUGUAGCGGUGGAAUGCGUAGAUAUAUGGAAGAACACCAGUGGCGAAGGCGGCUCUCUGGUCUGCAACUGACGCUGAGGCUCGAAAGCAUGGGUAGCGAACAGGAUUAGAUACCCUGGUAGUCCAUGCCGUAAACGAUGAGUGCUAAGUGUUGGGAGGUUUCCGCCUUCAGUGCUGCAGCUAACGCAUUAAGCACUCCGCCUGGGGAGUACGACCGCAAGGUUGAAACUCAAAGGAAUUGACGGGGGCCCGCACAAGCGGUGGAGCAUGUGGUUUAAUUCGAAGCAACGGAAGAACCUUACCAGGUCUUGACAUCCAGUGCAAACUUAAGAGAUUAGGUGUUCCCUUCGGGGACGCUGAGACAGGUGGUGCAUGGCUGUCGUCAGCUCGGUCGU